UAGAGGAAGUAAAAGUCGUAACAAGGUUUCCGUAGGUGAACCUGCGGAAGGAUCAUUACUGAAGCCAUAGAGUUUUGAGACUGCGUCUUGCGUGCUCGACUCUUAUUCUUCUUAUCCACACACCUUUGUGCACCGAUGGGACGAAAGUCCCCUUAUAAAUAAAUACCUAGUUAUAUGCAUGUUUGUUAUACUAAAUAAAAGUACAACUUUCAACAACGGAUCUCUUGGCUUUCGCAUCGAUGAAGAACGCAGCGAAUUGCGAGACGUAAUGUGAAUUGCAGAAUUCAGUGAAUCAUCGAAUCUUUGAACGCAUCUUGCGCUCCUUGGUAUUCCGAGGAGCAUGCCUGUUUGAGUGUCGUCUUACUCUCAGUUUCAAAAAUUUUGAAACUGGAUUUGAACGCUGUCGGCGUCGUCGACUCGUUCUAAAUGCAUUAGCGGUCUGCCCUUGAUCACAACCACAAUGUGAUAAACUUUUGAGCAUUGUUUUUUGUCAAGUGGCGACGGCUUCUAACCGUCCCUUUCGGGACAACCGACCUCAUUUGACCUCAAAUCAGGUAGGACUACCCGCUGAACUUAAGCAUAUCAAUAAGCGGAGGAAAAGAAACUAACAAGGAUUCCCCUAGUAACGGCGAGUGAAGAGGGAAAAGCUCAAAUUUGAAAUCUGGCGGUCUAUGGCCGUCCGAGUUGUAAUCUAGAGAAGUGUUUUCCGCGCUGGACCGUGUACAAGUCCUUUGGAACAAGGCGUCAUAGAGGGUGAGAAUCCCGUCUACGACACGGACUACCAGUGCUUUGUGAUACACUCUCAACGAGUCGAGUUGUUUGGGAAUGCAGCUCAAAAUGGGUGGUAAAUUCCAUCUAAAGCUAAAUACAGGCGAAAGACCGAUAGCGAACAAGUACCGUGAGGGAAAGAUGAAAAGCACUUUGGAAAGAGAGUUAAACAGUACGUGAAAUUGUUGA
rnacentral:rRNA from 1 species